rnacentral:tRNA from 2 species
UGGUAGCUCAGCUGGAUAGAGUGUCUGACUACGAAUCAGAAGGCCGGGGGUUCGAGUCCCUUCCAG